rnacentral:rRNA from 1 species
GACGAACGCUGGCGGCGUGCUUAACACAUGCAAGUCGAGCGGUAAGGCCCUUUCGGGGGUACACGAGCGGCGAACGGGUGAGUAACACGUGGGUGACCUGCCCUCAGCUCUGGGAUAAGCCUGGGAAACCGGGUCUAAUACCGGAUAUGACUCCAUGACGCAUGUUGUGGGGUGGAAAGCCUUGUGCGGCUGAGGAUGGGCCCGCGGCCUAUCAGCUUUGUUGGUGGGGGUGAUGGCCUACCAAGGCGACGACGGGUAGCCGGCCUGAGAGGGCGACCGGCCACACUGGGACUGAGACACGGCCCAGACUCCUACGGGAGGCAGCAGGUGGGGAAUCUUGCGCAAUGGGCGAAAGCCUGACGCAGCGACGCCGCGUGAGGGAUGACGGCC